UGGUAGAGGCGCGGGAUCCAUCAGUAGCGGCCGCGAGGCACGCCCGGAGGGGCGGCGGCGCGCGAAAGGGGAAACCGCCGAAGGGCACGCAGGCCUCCGACCUGCAGUGCUCCUGGGACGGGGGAGAACAUCCCCCGGACUGUCGCCUUCGGGCGGAGCGCUAUCA
rnacentral:ncRNA from 1 species